rnacentral:rRNA from 1 species
AACGAACGCUGGCGGCAGGCUUAACACAUGCAAGUCGAACGCCCCGCAAGGGGAGUGGCAGACGGGUGAGUAACACGUGGGAACAUGCCCAAAGGUACGGACUAUUCUCGGGAAACUGGGAGCAAUACCGUAUGUGCCCGAAAGGGGAAAGAUUUAUCGCCUUUGGAUUGGCCCGCGUUGGAUUAGCUAGUUGGUGGGGUAAAAGCCUACCAAGGCGACGAUCCAUAGCUGGUCUGAGAGGAAGACCAGCCACACUGGGACUGAGACACGGCCAGACUCCUACGGGAGGCAGCAGUGGGGAAUCUUGGACAAUGGGCGCAAGCCUGAUCCAGCCAUGCCGCGUGAGUGAUGAAGGCCCUAGGGUUGUAAAACUCUUUCGUGGGGGACGAUAAUGACGGUACCCCAAGAAGAAGCUCCGGCUAACUUCGUGCCAGCAGCCGCGGUAA